CGGAGAACUGAAACAUCUAAGUACCCGGAGGAAGAGAAAACAAUAGUGAUUCCGCAAGUAGUGGCGAGCGAACGCGGAACAGCCCAAACCUUGAUCGUUACGGCGGUUGAGGGGUUGUAGGACUGUAAUAUGGACUUUAUAAUGAACAAGAAUGAUCUGGGAAGGUCAACCAUAGAGGGUGAAAGUCCCGUAUUGGUAAAAUUAUAAUACCUAACAGUAUCCUGAGUAGGACGGGACCGGAGAAAUCCCGUUUGAAUCCACCGGCACCAUCCGGUAAGGCUAAAUACUCCUGAGAGACCGAUAGUGAACUAGUACCGUGAGGGAAAGGUGAAAAGUACCCUGAAUAAGGGAGUGAAAUAGUACCUGAAACCGUGUGCUUACAAGCGGUCGGAGCUGCAUUUAUGUAGUGACGGCGUGCCUUUUGUAUAAUGAGCCUACGAGUUGCUCCU
rnacentral:rRNA from 17 species